CUGCAAAUCCGCAAGACAUUACAAAAAAAAAAAAAAAGAAAAAAAAACCUACGGGAGACGGAGAAAGAGAAAAGAGCGAGAGAGAUAGGGAAAAUAUUCAUCAAUAAACGCGUUGGUUGUCUGGCAGCGUUUGGCAACCAGCGAUGAGGGUUGAGGGGUCCCGCCGGCUUCCCGUCCUCAGUUGUAGAUGGUCACCCUUGCUGUGUGAAUCGAGACGUCCGCCGCGGCAGUUUAGCCAUUUGCCUUAGCUGGUCCCGCAUCACACUAAGGCAAACUUGGACGGAACGAGGCCUAACCAGAGGGCAGCAGAGGGACGGCACGGGCUGGAGGGCGCAUCGCUGAAGCCGUGACGGAGAAACAAUCGACUGUGCGAGGAAGCGAAACCAUAAGAGACAGAAAGAGAAAAGUAGGAAAGAGAAAAGGAGAAGCGGAAGUUAAGUGCAAGGAAGAGGAUCAGGAAAGGGAGGAGUAAUCAAACUGCGGGUGUUGGCGACGCAUGGGGUAAACAUUCCACCACACUGCCAUGUCCAGGAGGCUCCCACCACGUCUCCAGCCACGCCCGCACGCCCAUGAGAGGCCAGGAUGGUAGAGAACGGCACGGGGCGGCCCUCUCCUGACUUCAGCAUGCCCGCACACACCGGCAGGCAACAGUACUAUCUGGGGAAGUACCUCCUUCAGCGCUCCGCCUCCAAGAGAAAGGUUGUGGUAGACCUGAGCGCGGCGCCCCUAGAUGAUGAACCAGACUGGCACUACCUCUCCUCCCACGACGACGCCCUCCCGUCCCACAUGCGUCGCGGGAUAUACGUGGACACAGAGUCCGCCUCCACCAUCGCCUCCACCGACCACUUGUCUCCGCCCUCCACCACCUCCCGUCUGAGCGAGUCUGACAUUAGUGACCUGGAGGACAAUCUGCAGCGGGACAGACGGACAGACGGAACAUCCAUCAGCAGCGUGGGGUCCUCCUCCAGUCCGCCUCCCGAGGACCGCCAGCUGGGAUCGGGGGCGGAACAUCUGCCGAGGCGGGACACUGCGUCUCCCACGGGCCGCCGCCUCACAACCACCGUGCAUAGCCGCGGGGACUUGAGGUACCGCGCUAAGGACCUCACCCUGCCGGCUUACAGCAGCAACCCUCGCUCCCGCAGCCAUUCCGCCGCCCCAACGGACUCUCCGUCGCUGCACAUGUCGCGCUCUCGCAGCAAGUCUCCCCGCCGCGUCACUGAGCCCGGUAGCCGCUCCCUCUCCCCUCCCGAGGCCAGGCCGGGUUACAGCGGGGGUUCCAGGAUGACUUCCCGCAGCGCUACCGCCACCCCGACAGGCUCCCCCAAGAAGAGACAGCUGCCCCCUAUUCCUACUCAUCAGUUAUCCUCCAGGGACAAGGUAACGCAGGAGCUAGAGGACAGGACUCGCCAGAUGAAGGCGAAAAUGAUGCAGAUUCAAGCCUACAGGUCAACCGGUUCACACCUGUACUCCGGCCACUCCGACACCGAACUGCGUAUGUAUGACAGGUACUCCCAGGGGCGCGGGGUGCUGGUGUCCCCCGAGCGUGAUCCGGAUAGAGACUUUGGCGACUCUGCCAGUGACAUUGAGAGUGUCGUAAGUGCCUUCUCCACUCAGAGCGAGAGGCCCCGAGGCUCCACGAAGCUCAGUAGGCGGCACCUGAGUAGCUUGAAGAGCCACACUCAUGGCUAUGACGCCACCCUAGACCCGCCCUCCCUGCUGACCGACGUGACGCGAGACAUUUCUCCCCACGGGCGGGAGCCGUCGUGCAGCCUUCUGGACGUGAGCCUCCGCCCCCCUAGCCCCAUUCAACCCCGACCCCCUCACCUCCGCCGUUCUCUUUCCAUGGGUGUGGGCGCAGGUGUCUCCCGGAGCGCGCCGCACCUGGCCGCGCGUCCCCGUCAGCACCCACAGCCACGCCCCCUCAUGCGUUGCAACACGGAGGCCAGCGUGGCUCCUCCGCCACGACCCCGCCACCGCCUGCAGAAAAGCCAAAGCCUUGGCGAGAAUGACCGGCGAUGGGAAGUUCGCCAGGAUGCUGACUACUUUCCUGAGGCGUGGGAAUUUUCUAAUCGCGCUCGCUCGAAGUCCCUAACCCGUGACGAUUUUUCUCUUCGGCCGCCCCCUAGAAAAACGGUAACGUAUGAAGACGAGGUGUUACGAGAACGGUUGCAGGAGCCUCCCCCCUUCUCCAGAAGCUCACUAUCUCUUGAUAAAUCAGUGCCUUAUGAGUCUGACUUAGUGGUAAGGGAACACGCGCAGGACCCUUAUGUGCGAAAGUCUCGGGCAGUCCCUGACGGGUACACGCAGGUGUCUCAAGAGCAGCAACAGCAAAAGCAGCAAAAACAGCAGCAGCCUCCUGAUGCUGCCAGGGGUCUGUACCGGCGGCGCAGUUCCGUCCGCCUUGCAGACAGCCAUAGUGCAGGAACCUAUUACGGGUAUGAUUCAGACUAUAGUGGAGCAGAAACAGAAGUGUUCCUUCCAGACCGCUCUCUUGAUCGCUCCUUUAGUCUGGAGCAAGUGGACCAGCGGAGCUCCGAGUUGGAGUUCACCUCUGGGGAUGAGCGGCACCCAACAGGACCAGCAGAUCUUCCCCACCACUCAUUAUUGGCAAUGCAGGAAGGUUGCAGCCAAACGCUUCCAAGAGCUCGACGAGCCUCCACUGGACCUUCACGUAGAGUCAUGAUGAGAGCAAACACCGAGAGCGCCUUGUUGAAAGGCCCUAGUAGAGACCUACGCGAGCAGAUUAGCUGGAAACCGUCCAGAGGAGAACAGGAACGGAUGUAUGGUAUUUCUCGUGAGCACAGCUUAGGAGAAGGCUCCUCAGGCGAAAGAAGGCAGCCCCUUGAGGCAGUGAGAGGGAUACAUUCUAGUCCAGCCCUGUCACGAGUCCUCGAUGGGAGUAUGCCACAAGAUAAAUAUGAGUCAUGUAGUUCAGAUGACGUGUUUAUUCCUAUUGAGCAGCGUAGGCAUGGCUUGGUUCAGUCUGAAGGUGACCGAGACAGUCGACCUGAUGACUCAUAUGAUGGCCCACCAGUGGAAGGCCGACGGUAUCACUACACAUCCCUCCCACAAGACCAAGCCAGAGCCAGGGACCACGAAGACACACGGCUCCAUCAUGGCAGCUUGGGGGAGGACAGACGCCCUUUGGAUCCUCAAGUUCUCCCAGAAGGUGGCAGGUAUCUUGAACAUGAUGAGAGAGAUGAAAGCAGAUACUUGGAACAAACCCCUAGGGAUGAAGGCAGGUACCUCGAGCAUGAUCCGAGAGAUGAGUCAAGUUACCGUAGACAUGGGUCGAGAGAGGAGGUAAGGUUUCGUGAACACGAUCCUCAAGAUGAGAUGAGAUAUCAUGACCACAGCUCAAAGGAAGAGGUUAGAGGUCGGGAGCACAGUUCUCGGGAAGACAUCAGAUACAGAGAACACAGCUCUCGCGAUGAAACAAGACAUGUGAAGCCCAGCCUCAGAGGUGAAGCUAUAUUUAGAGAACAUGAUCCUAGAGAUGAAGCCAGGUAUCGAGAACAUGAUCCUCGGGACGAAGCCAGAUUUCGAGACCACGAUCUCCGAGACGAAGCCAGGUACCGAGAACACGCUUCUAGGGAAGACCUUAAACAUAGAAAACAUGGUCGAAAGGUCGAGGCUCGAUAUGUUGAACAUCCCAGGGAUGAGGGUAGAUUCCGAGAGCUUGAGGUGCGGGAAGAAGCACGAUAUCGAGAACAUGGUUCGAGAGAUGACCCCAGAUACCAGGAGUAUCCCCCAAGGGAAGAAAUAAGAUUCCAAGAACCUCUACCUAGAGAAGAAAGUGGUUUCCGAGAAGUGGAGGUAGGAGUGGAACCCACCUACAGAGAUCAUGAUCCAAGAGUUGAAGGAAGAUUCCAGGAUAUGAGGGAGGAGGAGAGGUAUCGAGAUGACAGAAAGGAUGAAGACAGGUAUCGUGAAUCAGACAGUAGAAUGGAUAGCAGAUACCAAGGCACCGAUGAGGGGAGAUACCCUGAGGACAUGAGAGACAGAGGGGAAAGAAGGUUCAGGGACCAAGACCCUAGAAUUGAUGAUAGGUACCAAGGCCCUCGAGAAGAAACCAGGUAUCGUGAGCAACCUUAUCCAGAAAGCUCUACUGGAGCCAGACCAAGACGUCCUGAGAGAGAGAGAGCAGGGACGAUAUUCCAAGGGAUGAGAGAUACAGACAAGGAAGUCUUGAUCAAGAAAGAUACAGAGAAAUGCCUUUAGAAAAGGAGCGGUUCAGGGAACAAGAAGAUGUGAGAUACAGGGAUGCUGGUGCUAUGGAACGAGAAAGAUAUAAAGAGUAUGGAGCUGUAGAAAGAGACAGAUAUAAAAGAUGGAGUUCUGUAACAGAGGAUAAGUAUAGAGAGAGCUUGGAGAUGGGAGACAGAGACUACCGCGCUGCAACACUUGAAAAAGACCGAUUUCGAAGUUGUGUUUCUUUGGACCAGGAUAGGUUUAGGGAUCAGGGACGCGAUCCAUACCGGGAUGGUAGUGAGGGACCGGAGCGAGGGUAUAAAGGGCAGGCGGAGGACAGAAAGCACUACGGUAGCCGGAGGGACCUCAGAGACAGGAGGCUGUACGAUGAUCAUGGCGGGGAAUCGUAUGAAGGGGAGGAUCGCAGGUUCAGAGAUAUGCACCACCCCAGUUACGAUCCCACCUUUCCCUACCAUGACCCGAGGCGACCACCUGACCACCGACGUGACGCUGCUUCUCACCCGCACCAUACCUCGCACCCUCACGACCUCGCUCAUGCACACCUCACUAAUACCCCUCACACCCAUCCCUACGCCGCCCACGAGACCCGUGCUGCAGACCCGUCCUAUAAUGUAGCCGAUCCCCUACCCCACCACCAUCCCCUCGACACAGACCCUUUGGAAGGCGAGAUCCCGGACACAGACAGACCCCUGACCCCCCGAGUUCGCCACAGUUCCUCAUGAGUUUAGCCACCGGACCACCACCCCCUUCGGGCCAACGGGGGUGAGCAUCGGCGGGGCCAGCAAGCGCGGCCAGCUGGGCAGGAGCCGCUCCACCAGCGAGGUCCCAGAGACGGAAAAAGCUG
rnacentral:misc_RNA from 1 species